UCGUCAGUGAGGUUUAUCCUUACCUGUUACUCUUUUUAGAGAAGCAGAAUAUGAUGAUGAGGUGUAUGAGUUUAUGAUUAAUAAUUACUCAACUGUGAAGCUUAACAACCUUUGCAGUAUCCUUGUCUGAU